UGUUAUGAUAUUGUAAUUAUUGUAUUUAUUUAUGUUGGCCUGAUUUGUGUUGUGUGGCCUGAUAGUUGUUUACAGAAUAAUCUUAGAACUGUGCAGUUUAGAAAUCACUGGAACAAUCACAGAAUGAUUGGAACUUUCCAUUUGACUUACACAAUGAUUCCAGAAUGACCCUAAUAAAAGAUGCGUUAUAUAAACUUCUACAUUUUACUAGAAACUUCCGUUGUAACUUUCUAGGAUGUUCCAUUAUAGACUGUUCUAGAAUUUUCCGUGACAACUAUAUAUAUAUACAGACACUAAAGUUAAAGUCUCACACUUAGACUUAGACAUCGAUAGACAUUAAUAUUCAUAGCAUUUGGAUUGACACUUUUAUUCUACAAACAACAUCAUACUGGAUUGUGACCGUAGUAGUGAACGUAAUAUUCAGAUUGGAUUCCGAAAGAUAUCCAGA
rnacentral:lncRNA from 1 species